GCAAGAGACAGUGCGUCAACUUCGUGGC
rnacentral:sRNA from 1 species